UGGAAAGUCUAUAGUCGAGACCCCGAUUAUAGGAAUACCCGUUACAUACUUUUAGGAGGUUAAAUUUUUUAAAAAUUUAAAUUUAAA